rnacentral:rRNA from 1 species
UAGGGAAUCUUCCGCAAUGGACGCAAGUCUGACGGAGCAACGCCGCGUGAGUGAAGAAGGAUUUCGGUUCGUAAAACUCUGUUGUUAGAGAAGAACAGCGCAUAGAGUAACUGUUAUGCGUGUGACGGUAUCUAACCAGAAAGCCACGCCUACCUACGUGCCACCAGCCGCGGUAAUACGUAGGUGGCAAGCGUUGUCCGGAUUUAUUGGGCGUAAAGCGAGCGCAGGCGGUCAAUUAAGUCUGAUGUGAAAGCCCCCGGCUCAACCGGGGAGGGUCAUUGGAAACUGGUUGACUUGAGUGCAGAAGAGGAGAGUGGAAUUCCAUGUGUAGCGGUGAAAUGCGUAGAUAUAUGGAGGAACACCAGUGGCGAAGGCGACUCUCUGGUCUGUAACUGACGCUGAGGCUCGAAAGCGUGGGUAGCAAACAGG